rnacentral:pre_miRNA from 1 species
AGUACAAUUGCUAGGUCACAUGGUAAUUCUAUUUUCAAGUUUUCGAGGGAACUACCAUACUGUUUUCUAUAACAACUGCACCAUUUUAUAUUCCCAUUAAUAAU